GGCUGGAUGGCCGAGCGGUCUAAGGCGCUAGACUCAAGAAUCCAACUUCUUCUGCACAAAUGUGCGGUGCAUUCUAGUAUUGAAAGAUGCGUGGGUUCGAAUCCCACUCCAGUCA